GGUGGGUCCAAAGGUAGCAAGUUUCUCAACUGAUCACAUUCAGUUAUAGAUCUAACUCCUUUCUCUAUUCUAUCGCCCCUUCUCAUUACCGUACUCGACUAGUCUUUU
ensembl:Y_RNA Y_RNA Y RNA